rnacentral:rRNA from 1 species
ACUUACGACCAUACCACCCUGAACACGCCCAAUCUCGGGGCUAAACAGAGUCGGGCCUGUUUGGUAUUUAGAUGUGAAAACCCAUGGGAAUACCAGGCACUUUAAGCA